rnacentral:rRNA from 1 species
UAGAGUAAUGCGUGACCAACCUGCCCCAUGCUCCAGAAUAGCUCUUGGAAACGGGUGGUAAUGCUGGAUGCUCCAACUUGACGCAUGUCUUGUUGGGAAAGUGUUUAGUGGCAUGGGAUGUGGUCGCGUCCCAUCAGCUUGUAGGCGGGGUAAUGGCCCACCUAGGCUUCGACGGGUAGCCGGCCUGAGAGGGCGGACGGCCACAUUGGGACUGAGAUACGGCCCAGACUCCACGGGAGGCAGCAGCC